UAAAGUUUAAGGAAGUCUGUGAGCACCCUCCCAAAUUCCAGUGAGGAGGGAGGACUACAUCAGGAGCAAUCCUGAGGAAUGUGCUCCAGUUGGGCAGCCACGUCUUUCUGUGACACAGUGAUUUAGACAGAAAUGGCUGGAAUACCAGCAGUGAGCACUUGAGAAAGUGGGAAAGUUGAGCAAAUGUUUUGAUUUUGAUUUUUCUCGUGUCAUUUCCAACAAGGAGCCACUCCAUGUUCUGCACAAACAGUGUAUGUUUGCUCAUGGUGCAAGGAGAUAAAAAGGGAAUUUCUGUUGCUGCUUGAGCAAGCUCUUGUGCAACAAUCCCAACCACACUGUGCCUCCAUCCCUAUCUCUGCUCCUGUCCCCGUGCACUACAGAGAUUGCUAGACUUCAUCCUCAGGAUGUAAAGAGGAGAAAAUUUCUCGUGGGACCAGGUUUUGUUCAGACUCAUCUUACAACAGUAAGACUCCUGGCUUCUGAAGGAUCUUUAAAAGCUGUUUUCCUUCAGAUCUCCAAUUUGGAGGCAAGCAUGUCUGAAAUACUAGCCAAAAAGUGGCAGCAGUGCAGAAGAAAGACGUUAUAUGCACACCCAUAAUAGCAUGCAUGUAUCCUAAAGGUUUGGCACCCAUAUUACUGCUCCACAAAUAUUUACAGUAAGCGCACAAGCUCUAUCAUCAGUCAAAUUCCAGUGAAGUUACCAGCAACUGAGCUGAGUCAUGGCCAAGGAACGUCUCUUCUCAUCAGUGCUUCUGUCCAAAAUGUCAGCAAUGGCUUACACCUGGGAGCCUGGGCAGGCUAUCUACAAAGAAGCUUAACCAUAUCUCUUCUUUAUCCAUAGUUGAAAACUGAGUCAGAGGCUGACUAGAAAUGAUAAAAUAUUGCAUUUCUGUUCAGCGAGUGAUCACAAGGUACCUUUCUUAGGAACAUAACAAUAUGCAGAGUCAAUUUCAAGCCAGUAUGCCGUUAGGACACAGAACUGUACUGAUAACAAAAUCUAGUGUGUGCAUAAUGCUCAGCCACCUUCCAUCCUACUAAAUUUCACUUAUGUUUUUCCUCUGGUUACUAUAGCCUGAGUCCACCUAAAACAUAUGCUGGGCUUUUGCUAAACAUCUGAAAGUUCAGGUCUUCUUCAGAUACAGAUGGCACGUAGACAUCUUGUUAGCAUGUUAUCAGGGUAAACUGGUUAUCAGGACUGUGAAUUAAAAUGACUUUACAGUACAAGGCUAUCUCAGUGUCUGUAAUCAGCUACCAUCAGAUCAAGUGAGAUACCUUUGAACUGGGAAUUGUAAGAGCCCAGCGGGCACUGUUAAACCCUAGUGGCCUCAAUCAGCCUCACAUGGGGCCUCUAACUAUUCACCUGCCCAUAGCCCCAGGAGCCUCAUUUAAGCUUAGCAUGGGUUAUUUGCCUUUUCUCCUAGUUGUAUUGCACAAGUGUUGCUCUUCAUCUGAGUUAUUGUUGUGUUUGGUUCUAACCAUGGACCCUACUGAUCCAGAUGAUGAUUUGAGGCCUCUUGGCUUGGUCUCGUGUCUGCAUUGCCACCAUGGACUUCUAUGGCAGCCUCUCGAGCACAUCCUGUUCCUGACCUGUGGAUUGACUUGUGGACCUGAUCUUGGACCUGUCUCAUAACCAGGAACAUGGCUGGUGAGCUUAAUUCCUCAUUGAGUUUGGAUGUCAUCUUUGGGUGGAUUCUGCUCAUCUUGCUCCAGUGGUGUGAGAUGAGCCCUGGCUGUUGUAUAUUCUGCCCUGGUGUCCCUUUUUUUUCCUGAACUCUAAGGAGCAGGUGUCCAGUGCUGUUCCCUGUCUUAAGUCAUCGUUCUAGUCUAGGAGUUUAGAGAAUAAUUCUAUCAAGAAUGCCUUUUCUCUGGCCGAUCACAAUUUCUAUAACUGACCACUACAUAAAGGGAGAAGAAAAAAUAACCACAGGAGGUAAGUAAAAGGUUACAUUGUCAAGAUGCAAUAUAUUUUUAAAGUUAUUUUAAACUGAUCACAUUGACCUUGGUAAGAAGUUGAGUGAUAAAGCAAGUGACUGGUGCUCCCUCCAGAUGGCCAUGCCGAUCAUCAGACCUGGUCUGGGAACAAUCCUUCUUCCAGCCUGUUCUUUACUCCCAUGGAGUCAUCAAAACCAGAGUUAGUUAACUGGUCUACAUUUUGCUGUUGUGAUGUGGGACUCCAGAAACCAAACAGCUUUACAUACCAACUCCAGAAUGCAGAGUAUACUUUGACAGCGUGGUAUUCGUUUGACCAUCAGGUCUAGCUGAACUGAUUCUCUCCUCAUCACUACGUUAUAAAUAGCUGGGGAUAUUUACAAGCACACUUCAUAAAUAGAGCAGGCUAAGCAAUCUGAUAUCUCCCCACUACAAUCAGAGUAGCACAUGUUGACAUACCUGAGCUAGGUUCAUGUGAACUAGUUAACAGUCUGAGCUAAUAUAUCCCAAGUGUUGUUCUGCUCCUCAGUGAGCAAAAGCUAGGCAUCAUGUAUGUCCAGGAAAAACUAUAACCUGCUCCCCACACAGUAUUAGGUCUUUCACGUAGUCCGUGCCUUCUUUUCCAAAACCCAAGUUGUUUAUUAAUUAAAAAAAAUAAUAAUAAUGAAAAAUUUACUUCAAAUAGACGAUAUAUUUUAUCAGAUCAGUUUUUAUCUGGUUAUUUUCCUCUAGACCGCCAUUUCCUCCUUGCCCUCCCUACCUCCCUCCCCCCCCCAAAAAAAGCAUAUCAGUAUCCCAGUGAGCAAACAAUACACAGUCAAUACGCAAGAGAUUUCACUUCUGAUGUGUUUUUCCUCCUUUAAACACAUAUUAUUAUACUAGCUAUGUGGUGUUAGAAAAACAGGUGAUUUGCUAAGUGCUUAUUUGAAUCAGGUGUUAUUACAGCUCUUAGUGUCAGAUAAAUCUCUUUCAUACUCAGAACAAAUGACAUAUUUGUAAGAGCUUAAGUGCCUUAGGUGAUAAUUCUUCAGUCAUUUUAAGCUGCUCAUCUUUUCCUGCUCAAUGCACAGAGAAGCUUUUCAGUCCAGAACGAAGUGUCUAAACCUCUUUAGCCCAGCUGAAAACCUUUCACAUAACGAUAGGAACUAGUUAUGUCUUGCCUUUGUAACACACUGGCUAAAUAACAAUAUUAGAGCUGUAUCAAGAGAUAAUUCACAACAUUUGGGAUGAAACCUCAACUAUGUUGGGUGCAAGCUCUUGUGCAAGGCAUUUAAACUCAAUGCAGACAGCUCUACAGAAAUCCUAGGUGCAGAGAGGGUCAGAAGCUACUUUAUUUUGGGUUGGGGAGGCGGGGCAGGGAUAUGAAAAUGCAAGCACAAUCUUGCUAAUUAAAACUAUUAUUUUAUGAAGUUCAAACAGAAUGAGGUAGAUAAUAAUCAAAAUGUAACAAAAAUAAUUAAUGCACAGCAGCAGAAGUAAGUUAUCAAAUUCUGAAGUGCUACUGGCACAGAAAUCUGGAUUUAUUUCAUGAUGCUUUUGGGUAUUAGGAAAUAUGCAUGUACAGAACCCACAGCACAUGUUAACCACUUAGGCUGGUGGGAGCAUACCUUUCCAAAAAGCCUGACUGAGAUGGGGAAGAUGCUAAAACUUAUCCGAAUUAAUAUUUAGCUAUAUAUAUGGUAAAAUACCCUAAUUAUCAGGGAUGUGGAUGAGAACCUAAAAAUAUCGUAAUUAUAGGGAGGUAGAUGAGAACCUUAUGAGAAGCAGAUGUAAAAAAGAAGAUAUCGCUCAAGGCCAACGGAUGAGGGAAGGACGAAUAACUCAUUAGGGAAGGAUGAACAACUUGUUGGCAGGAAACAAGGCAAAGAUAAACAAAAAAACUUCUAAAUACUGUCCAACAGCAGGUCAAAGCCCAGAAAGGUAAAAAGUUUAACCUCCUCUUCCUCAUUGCCUUCAUUCUGAAAGACCCCUGCCCAUGACCACCAGGCUACACUGCGUAGGCGCAACUGGGAGGAGCUAAGGGCAGGGAGUAUGGAAAUGAGUACUUGGAAGAGGUCUGCCUUUUCGGGAAAAUAUUGAAUAUGUAUUAGAGCUCACGUAAUAUGUAACAGUAUUCAUGUAUAAAGUUGUGAGAGAUGACCGGGCAGGUGUGCACUUUUUGAGGGAAGCUAUUCCCAGUGCGCCCGGUACACCGCAAUAAAGUAUAUCUGCUUUACAACCCUAUGAUUGUGGGGUCUUUUCUGCGCGUCAGACAGGAAAUAGAAGAGCAGCAAGAAAAGAAGAAAACUUUUUGAGAAGAAAACUUGUAAGGCCCUGGCAAAAACAGAGGAAAAUGGCUUCCAGUGCUCGUGCAUGAGCACUCAUUCCAAUUUCAUCCCUCUCAAGGCAAUUCAGCAUGUGAAACUAAGCUGAAGAGGACCUCACUGCAAAAAGGUGGAAAUCAUAUAAGUAGCUUUGCACCACAGCACCCUGCUUUCUACAGGAGGAAGUGACUUAGUGUUUCGCACCCUACUUACUUACUUGGAGUGGAAUUUUACAUCCCCUGCAAAGCCUCCUAGAUGUUUCCACUUAUAGAUCGGAAGAUGCUGACAGAUGCAGCGAGAUGGAGGACAAAGGGCUGUGCGGCUAGAGCGUGACGAAGCUCAGCACUCCGACCUGUCUGCAAGCUGUUUGGCAAGGCUCAGGCUAAAGUGGGCUGCUCCGACCACACUGCCAGGAAACAUUCAUGCUGACAUCUGCAAAGCUACACUGGCUGUAGCUUAAGCAGCCAGUAAAUUAACAGCAAGUGACCUUUGAAGAACCAGAGGUGAAUGCACGAUGUAAAUGGCCUACUAACCACUUCUAAUUUAAUCAGAAAUUCCCAGGACGACUUCCUCAAACAUCUCAUAUGUUUCUUCCCAUUGCUUCCAUAUCUUACUUCCACAGUCUGCUGGACAGGAAGAAAAUGCUUCCUGCCACAGUCACGAAAGGGAAAUGCAACUAAAGGAAUAAAUGUAGCCUUCAUCUAGCAGUUAAAACUUUAGCUGCUUCUCCCUGCGAAUUCUCUAGUAGGACUUAUAAUCUCUUCUGUUAAUAUCAAGUAGAUCAAAUAUAUAUUUUAAUAUGAAGAUUGGUUAAUAUUGUGCGUUAAUAUUAUGACACCAAUGUAUCACUUACUAGUAUUACUAGAUAUUUGGUA